UACACACCGCCCGUCACAUCACGAAAGUGGGCUGUACUAGAAGCCGGUGCACCAACCCGCAAGGGGGGUAGCCGUCCAAGGUACAACUCAUGAUUGGGGUG
rnacentral:rRNA from 1 species